GCUGGAAGAGAUACAGCAUAUCCAUAAGCUUAGGAUUCAGAGGAAAAAAUAAAUUUGAAUCCAUUUUAUUUUUUAUUAUUUACUUUUUUAGAGAUAGGGCCUCAUUAUGUUGCCUGGGCUGGUCUCCUGGCCUCCAACCAUCUUUCUGCCUCAGCCUCCUGAGUCACUGGGAUUAUAGAAGUGAGCCACUGAACCCAGCCCAUGAAUCUACUUUAAAAACUAAUUUUUUCAGUGAUUGCAAAAGUAAUACAACCCUCCAAAAAAGUAACACAGCCAUUAAAGGAUUAGUAUCCUGAAUAUACAAAGAGUACCUACAAAUCAAUUAAAAAAACCCCAAAACCCCAACCCAAUAAAUGGGCAAAGUGUAGGAACGGCCAGGCAGAUCACUAUAAAGAAACCUGAGGCUGGGUGUGGUGGCUCACACCUGUAAUCCCAACACUUUGGGAGCCCGAGGUGGGCGGAUCACCUGAGAUCAGGAGUAUAAGACCAGCCUGACCAACAUGGUGAAACCCUGUCUCUACUAAAAAUUCAAAAUUAGCCGGGCGUGGUGGCAGGAGCCUGUAGUCCCAGCUACUCGGGAGGCUGAGGCAAAAGAAUCGCUUGAACCCAGGAGGCAGAGGUUGCUACGAGCCAAGAUCACGCCGCUGCAUUCCAGGCUGGGUUACAGAAUGAGACUCUGUCUCAAAAAAAAAAAAAAAAAAAACCUGAGUAAUCAAUACAAUUAUGAAAGGAUGAUCACCCAUACAAGGUGGGAAACAUCCAAUGAAUCGAAGGCAAAAUAUUUAAAAUGCUAAUAAUGGCACACAUUAGUAAGGAUGUGGGGAAACAAGAUCUCUCAUUUGCGGCCAGGCAUGGUGGCUCACGCCUGUAAUCCCAGCACUUUGGGAGGCCGAGGUGGGCGGAUCACAAGGUCAAGAGAUAGAGCUUAUCCUGGCCAAGAUGGUGAAACCCCGUCUCUACUAAAAAUACAAAAAUUAGCUGGGCUUGGUGGCACGUGCCUAUAGUCACAGCUACUUGGGAGGCUGAGGCAGGAGAAUCGCUUGAACCCGGGAGGCAGAGGUUGCAGUGAGCCGAGAUCGCUCCACUGAACUCCAGCCUGGUGACAGAGCAAGACUCCAUCUCAAAAACAAAACAAAACAAAACAAAAACCUCUCAUUUGCUGCUUGUAGGAGUGUAACUUGGUACACUUACAACGAAACAAUUUUUCAAUAUCCCAUAAAACUACCUUUGAUCCAUCAAUUCCACUUCUAGUUAUCCCUUUCACAUGUGCUAGGGACACAAUUCUUGGACAGUCAUUGCAGCAGUGUCCACAAUGACAAAACAACUGAAAAAAAAAAAUCUAAACCAGCCAUCAGUAUGGGAAUGGAUGAAGAAACUGUAGUUAAUUCAUAUAACAAAAUGCCAUAAAACAAUUAAAAUGAAUACUCUCUAUAUGUAAAUCACUGAUUAAUUUCAAAAAUACAAGCCUGGAUGAAAGAAAAGCAUACUGCAAAUGGAUCUAUUCAAUAGGAUACCAUUUACAUAAAUUUUAAAAACACAUAAAAACAAUUUUAUAUUGUUAUGAAUACAUACAUAAAUAGUACAAGCAUAAAUAGUGCGUGGGGGCUGGGCCUGGUGGCUCAUGCCUGUAAUCCCAACACUUUGGGAGGCAGAGGCGGGAAGAUCACCUGAGGUCAGGAGUUCGAGACCAGCCUGGCCAACAUGGUGAAACCUCGUCUCUACUAAAAAUACAAAAAUCAGCCCAGCAUGGUGGUGUGCACCUGUAAUCCCAGCUACUCGGGAAGCUGAGACAGGAGAAUUGCUUGAACCCAGGAGGCGGAGGUUGCGGUGAGCUGAGAUCGCGCCACAGCUCUCCAGCCUGGAAGACAGAGCAAGACUCCAUCUCAAAAGAAAAUAGAAAAAAAAGCAUGGGAAUGAUAAACACUUCUGAGGAGAAAGGAGGGGAAAAUUAAGAGGUAGGGGGCAGGGCAGUGUUGUUAUAUAUAUAUAUAUAUAUAUACACAUAUAUAAAAAACACAAUUCUCAAAAAACACUGAAGAUAUCUGAAGCCAAUCUGGCAAAAUGUUAACAUCUAGUCUGAUGGUGGGUACAUAUGUACCUGUCACAUUGUUUUUGUAAGAUUGAAUUACCUCAUAACUAAAAAUAUUAAUAAAAAAGAUAAAAUGUUUAGAACAUACAGAACAGUAUAAAGGAGAAAAUAAAGUUUACUCAUAAUUCUAUCCCUCCAACAUUACCCUGCUAACAUCCCAGGCUUCAGUGUCUCCCUAUAAAUGGAAAAACAGAGGAGAAGGGUUAGAGCCAGAUCAUUUUAUUCAGUAAUAACAAUCCUACUUAUUAUUAUUUUUAAUCUCUGCCCCACUGUAAACGAGUUGUAGAAAAUCUGGCUCAGGGGAGGAGAACCGUUGGUGACUCCAGGCGAGCUCGAGAGGGAGCAUUAUUGGCCCUGCAGGAGGCCGUUUGCUGCCUCCUGGCUCAGAUGUUUCAUCCUAGAACUCAUCUCCUUUCCCCCUCCACGCAGCCCCUCGCCCGCAUCUGCCGCUCUAACCCCGUCCCGGCCCCUGCCCUUUCACCCCAAUUAUCCUGUUUCUGGCGUUGAAGACCCGCUUCUGCCU
rnacentral:lncRNA from 1 species